GUUUCCACUGAGAUUCAUGAAGUGGUGCAGUGCUCUGCCAUGCAUGGAGACAUGUCCUUUGACAAGUGACAACAUUUUGAAUUGGGAGAAAUGGGAGUACAGACUAGGAAGCACCUGGCUGAGAAGCAGCUUCACUACACAGUACUUGCGGUUUACAGCAGAUACCAGGCUGAAUAUGAACCAACAGUGCAUUCACAUUUUGAGUAAGGCAAACAGCAUACUGGCACAUACCAGAAGGACAGUCAUCAGGAGACAGAAGGACAUUAUUUCCAAUUGCUCAUGCUGUUUCUGUUUUCCAGACGGAGAUCUUCUUAAUCCAGGAC
ensembl:lncRNA